CUGCUGCCAUACAAGGCGCUCACUACACACCGGCAGCAACUAGGGGAUUAAGGACCUUGCCCAAGGGCCCUCAGUGAUUUUCCAGUCAGGCUGGGAUUUGAACCGAGGAUCCUCUGGUCUUAAGUCUAACGCUUAACCACUAAUACCACAUUAAAGUUCAC